UAAAAUAUUAACAAAAUCCGUAAACGUCCGAACAGCUUUCAUUGCGAGAACUCUCGAGAAUUAGAUGAGACCAACACGCGAGAGGUGAAAAUCGAGAGAAAUAUUCAACUUGAAAAAAGAGGUAAAACUUUAUAUUUUCUCGAUUUGCAAGGUUUUUAAAUUGCAUAAAGUUGAAAAACAAACGUUUCUUUACAUGAAAAGUGAAAGUAUGUAUGAAGUUUCUCGUUCUGUCACGUGCUAUUGUACAUGAAAGUGUCAAAACUGCACCUCUCGAUUUUGUAAACAUUUUUCCACGUGCAAGGGAGUAGUUGUGUCGGUAAAGAUGAACACACAUACACUGGUUUAGGAAACAAAAGCACUCGAUAUUCUGAAGACAGUGAUGACAUGAAAGUUCAAGAUUUGCCUAUUGUGAGCAUUCAGAUACCUCGGUAAUACAGAAUGGGUC